AGCAGACGGUCCUCGUCGCGCCCGUCUCCUUUUAGGCUAAUUCUUAAGCCCGGCCCCUGCUGGAAACGCAGAGCCGACGCGGCGCUCGAGCGCGUGUAUCUUCAAGCGGGCUGAGCGUCCCGCUGCAAGGCUGCGUGCGUUCGGCGGGCCGUGCUCGGAGCCGCUUGCGGAUUUCAUCGCUAUCAGCAAAAUAAAUGUCUUUGGCCUUGCUGUUCCGUGACUCAAGCGUGUGCCCCAGAGAGCAGAACGGCUGAAGCCAGCCACUUCCCCUCGCUCGGUUUAUUUUUACUGCUGGUUGCUGUGGGAAGCUGUUGUGAUUCAGCGCUGCAGUAGGAAGUUACCAAAGCAGCUCUUACAGCAAAGGAUGUUGAGAUUCUUAUGCAAGCCGUGGUGAAAAUAGCUGACCUUUCCGUUUGUUUCACAAAGCACCUUCAAUCCGUAUGAGGAACAGCAGUGGGCUGUGCAAGGAAGGCUCAUCGGGGUCUGAAGCCCUUUUGUGCUGCAUGUCCUUCGUGUUCUCAGUACCCAGAAACUUGCUCGGCUCCCCUCUGGAGGCGCGAGGAAGGCAGCUGUAACCACGGCGACAGCAGGAGGGAGAGAUCUCACCUCCGUUUCGUGGCCAAACUGGCAACCACCCAGGGGUGUGGGGAGAGGGCAGCAGAGGACCCCCGGCUCCUCCCGCGUCCUUCGAUCGGGAGCACGCGUCAUCCCGGCGAAGUCCUCCGACGCGCAGCCCUCCCGGACGGGGAGGCCGUCGGUGGGAUCCCGCGGGGCAGGGCUGGCCGCUGGAGCCGGUGGCAGCCCGUCGGCUUGCUGCCCUCUUGAGUCAGCUGCUCCAAAAUGCAGGGCGGCCGAGAAAUGAGCGGAAACGGAGCGGCGAUCCUCCCGAGGCAGGUCCCUUCCCUCGCCUGUGUCCUCCUCGCAGCCACCUGCUGCCUGGGGACUUCUGCGGAGGAAGAGCCCUCUGCUCUGCAGAAAGCCGUGGGCAUCCCCUUCAAUCUCCUGCACCGUGCACCGUCUGGUUUCCUUCUCCGCAGACAAAAA